GUGAAGGUCCCGCCUCGUGCGGACCGAGGGAAGAUGGGCCGCGCUGCUGUGCGGCUCCGCAUUCCCGGGGCGUCUCGUUCUCAUUGCGAGUUGAGGCGCACCCAGAGCGUACACGUUGGGACCCGAAAGAUGGUGAACUAUGCCUGGACAGGACGAAGUCAGGGGAAACCCUGAUGGAGGUCCGUAGCGAUUCUGACGUGCAAAUCGAUCGUCGGAGCUGGGUAUAGGGGCGAAAGACUAAUCGAACCAUCUAGUAGCUGGUUCCCUCCGAAGUUUCCCUCAGGAUAGCUGGUGCUCGAACGAGUCUCAUCCGGUCAAGCGAAUGAUUAGAGGCCUUGGGGCCGAAACGACCUCAACCUAUUCUCAAACUUUAAAUGGGUGAGAUCUCCGGCUUGCUUAAAACAUUUUUGAAGCCGCGAGAU
rnacentral:rRNA from 1 species